rnacentral:sRNA from 1 species
CUUCAUCUUCAUCUUCUUCUUCA